GGAUUAGAUACCCUGGUAGUCCACGCCGUAAACGAUGGAUACUCGUUAUAGGCGAUAUACUGUCUGUGACCAAGCGAAAGUGAUAAGUAUCCCACCUGGGGAGUACGUUGGCAACAAUGAAACUCAAAGGAAUUGACGGGGGCCCGCACAAGCGGUGGAGCAUGUGGUUUAAUUCGAUGAUACGCGAGGAACCUUACCAAGGCUUAAAUGUAUAGUGACCGAUCUGGAAACAGAUCUUUCUUCGGACAAAAUACAAGGUGCUGCAUGGCUGUCGUCAGCUCGUGCUG
rnacentral:rRNA from 1 species